ensembl:lncRNA
CAGCCCCUCCCAGUCCCUCUCUGGCCCAGAAGGCUUCCGGGAUAUUCACAUAUUCUGAAUCGCCCCCAAGUGCCAAAGUUGGGGAAGGAGGAGGAUAACAUUUUCCCGAGGAGGGACCUCUGACCCAGCUGCCUGGUCCAGAGCCCAAAAAGAAACCUGUGACAUGGAGGAGGCAUUGGCUGGCGCUAUGGUGGUCAUCAUUUUGCAAUAUAUCAGUGCAUCAGUUCAACACAUUGUACACCUUAAACUUACAUAGCAUUUUAUGUCAAUUAUAUCUCAAUAAAGCUGGAAAAACGCAGAAUAAAAAGCCAUGAGUAAUACAGCAUUGCUAUUCGUCCUUGAAGGUUUAAGGCAAGAACGCUCAAGUAAUCAGGGGUCGAUUCUCUUAAUUUACUGCGGUAGUUAUGUUCUGUAAUGUCACCAUGAGCGCUGAAUUAUUGCUUCUCGGGGCAACGCAGGGUUAGGAAGCUGUAAGCCUUCAGUUACAAGGUUUUCAUCAACCAAUCAAUAUAUAACUUUGUGUUAUGUGUGUUUCUGCUUAAAAACACCUCAUUUAAUAUGUUUUACUGAUCCUUUAACGUUGAAAUCAGAGCCUACAGCUCAUUCCAGAAUGAAGCUUAUCUAACACGUGCAUUUUCUCUGUAAGUCACAUCAUAGCCUCCUUGAGCUUAAGAGCAUUAGACGGCAUUUGAGCACUAUGCCUGGGAGCCAAUUCAAACAGUGAAGCCACCAACAGAAAGCACAAAAGUGUGAAACACACAGCACUAAAUAGACCGUGAAGAUGGCACGUUCAUGGUGUGAGAGCUGAAACCAGGAGGUGGAAAGUUGCCUAGUGUGACAUCAGCCGGGAAGCAGCAUGCGGAGCAAUGCCUGUGACCCAGAUUACUGCCACCCAUUUUAUGGAUGAAGAAACUAUGGUUGAGUGGAUGCCCAAGGCCAUGCUGCUACAGUGUAUUUGAGCUGGGAUCCAACCUCCUGGUUAUACUCUUCUAACCACCAAUCCAUACAACUCAUCUGUUCUAUUUCUUCUGGCUGGAACAACUUUCUCUCCUCUAGCUGCCUGGAAAACUCCUACCUGACCUUCAAAAUUCAGGUCCAAUGCCUCCUCCUCUGUGAAGCCUUCUCUGAUCCCACUCCAGACAGUUUCAUCUGCUUGGUACCCAGAGCAUCAUGCAUAUGUCUUUACUACAUUGCUCAUCAAUCUAUUCUGAAAUGAUAUGAACAAUGCUCAUUUUCCCCCUCAAACUCUAAAUUCUAUUAUCACAGAGCUAAGUUUUCUUACUCCCUUACAUCAUUGACUGACACUGGAAAAUGCUGCCAAUGAAGCGGCCCAUUCCAUAUUUGCUUGGAUUUCACUGUUAGAAAGUUCUUUGUUAGGGUGAACCACACAGCUGGCCUCACUAACAUCCACCUCCUGGGAGGAGGAAGCAGUUGGUUCUACCAUCUUCCUCUCAUAGAAGCUCUUCAGAUGCUGAGGACACCUGUCACCUGUCCCAAGGGGCGUCCCUGAUCAUGUCCUGUGUUGUCCCCAGCCAUUUCCUAUAGAACUUCCUACUCUCUUCCCUCUAAACACAAAGAGCUUUUCCCUUUAACUCCUUAUUUGUCAUUGGUAUCAUGAAGGAGACUAUGGGGUCCAUGGAAGCUGGGACAUUCCCUGGGUGAGUCUCCUCUGAAUGUCUUAUGUCCAGCCCAGCAUGUGACUCAUUUUGUUGAAUAUGUGGGUGAAUGGUUGGUUGAGGUCUUGAAUGUGAUAGAAAAAUCAGGAUGGUGAAUAAUUAAAGAUAGGUUUAAGGGCCAUCUGAGUGA